rnacentral:pre_miRNA from 1 species
ACAUGAACUACCUGGGGACCUUGUUAAAAUACAGACUCUGAUUCAGAAGGUCGAGAAUAUGAUCCGAGAUUUGCAUUUCUAACAAGCUCCCAGGUAAUGUUGAU